rnacentral:lncRNA from 1 species
GAGGCCAUCAAUCCUCCUGCCCAAAGAAGCCAACUGGGGCCAACCAGAACAUCUCUGCUGCUUGCUAAGGGAAUGAGUUUGUUUUCUGGAGCUGCUGCCUAUGAUUGCAGUGGAGAAAGAUGAUCUGAAAAGUCAGCCGUGAAUUUAUUGCUGCCCAUUCUCCAAGGCAUAUCUCUUACACUGUGAAUGUUGUUAAGUUGUAGGAGAGAAAAGUGCUGUAAAGGAAUAAGGAUAUCCCUGCAUUUUACCAGGGUAUGUGGAUCAUUAACAAAAUACAGCAGCAAUUCUCAACCAGGGGUGAUUUUGCUCCCCCAGGGGAUAUUUAUCAAUGUCUAGAGACAUUUUUAGAUGUCACAACUUGAAGUUUGCUACUGGAGUCUAGUGCGUAGAGGCCAGAGAUGCUGUUGAAGAUCCUACAGUGCACAGGACGGCCCUCACAAGAAUUUUUCAACCCAAUAUGUCAACAGUGCCAAGGUUGAGAAACCCAUACACAGUAAGGCCUUAUUGACCAGAAGUUGAGAAACAGCAGUUAUAAAGACCAUGCAUGUGACUCCAGAUAAGAGGUGAGAUGUUUCUUCCCAUGGACACACAGUUGUUGUGAAAAAUAUUACAGAUAAGAGCCCUGAAGAUUCACCAGAAAUGACAGCUAAGAGCAGAAAAUGUGGGAUGAUUAUUUGUUAAUACGACU